rnacentral:rRNA from 1 species
CACGUAGGGUGCGAGCGUUGUCCGGAAUUAUUGGGCGUAAAGAGCUCGUAGGCGGUGUGUCGCGUCGGCCGUGAAAACCUGCAGCUUAACUGUGGGCUUGCGGUCGAUACGGGCAUCACUGGAGUUCGGCAGGGGAGACUGGAAUUCCUGGUGUAGCGGUGAAAUGCGCAGAUAUCUGGAGGAACACCGGUGGCGAAGGCGGCAUCCUGGACCAAUUCUGACGCUGAGGAGCGAAAGUGUGGGGAGCGAACAGG